GGAUAGCUCAAUUGGGUAGCCCAUGGUGCUGAUAAUGCCAAGGUUGCAGGUUCGAUCCCUGUAUGAGAUAGCUGCA